UACGGGGGGGGCAAGCGUUGUUCGGAAUUACUGGGCGUAAAGGGUCUGUAGGUGGCUUGCUAAGUCAGACGUGAAAUCCCUCAGCUUAACUGGGGAACUGCGUCUGAGACUGGCGAGCUUGAGGGCAGGAGAGGAACGCGGAAUUCCAGGUGUAGCGGUGAAAUGCGUAGAUAUCUGGAGGAAUACCGGUGGCGAAGGCGGCAUCCUGGACCGAUAUUGACACUGAUGAGCGAAA
rnacentral:rRNA from 1 species